UCCACUCGCCACUUGGAGUGGGGACUAGAAGGCUUGAAGCUUUUUUUCGCUACCCAACUUGAAGGCUUGAAGCCAUUCCUUUCCCCUUCUGCUCUCUCCCUCUCUCUCUCGAUCUCUGUGGCCCCGUUUGCUUUUAAGGAACUUGAUGGGGGUGGGAUUGUUGUACGAAUUGGGGUGGGGGUGACUGGUUUCAUCUGUUCUGCGUUUGGAAUGGCCUGAGAAUAAGGUAUAGGGUUUCUUAUCAAACAUUGAGGAGAACAAGCAAGAGGAUUCAGCUUCUUGAGCCCCAGUCAAGGCGUUAAUGGAUUCCAGAACGGGUUAUAUAGCAAGAGGUGGGACUAAUUCGAGCUUAUCCAACGGAAAUUGUCUCAUUACUGCUCAAUGCUUGGAAGGACCCACUACUAUUGGUCCACCGUUGCUAGAUCAUCCCUCAUGCAGUACAGAGCUGACAAAGAAAAUCAUGUCAAUUGAGCUUGCAAUGAAGAGGGAGCUAGCAUAUCGAAGGAAAAUGGAGGGGUUGAGUUUCCAGACUCCAAGUAACUCUAAGCAAUACCCUUUGCGUUUCCAGGACGCAAAAGUAACCUAGGACAAUUUCUUACCGCAACACUUUGGUUUUCUCUCUCUCUCUCUCUCUCCCUCCCUCUCUCCCUCUCUCCCUCUCUCCCUCUCUCCCUCUCUCCUGCUAACUGAACAAGCCCUUGUGCCUUCCAAGGAUGCAUCUAAGUAUCCUAGUCUUGUUGGGGUGAAAAGAAAAGACCAGCGAUGCUUGCCACCUCCACGACCAAAACCAUUUUACACACUCCAGCCCCUUCAAAAGAAAAUACUCAGUUUUACCUGCGAGAAAUGCCAAGUGCCCUGCUCAAGUUUAUUCAAUCUUAACCAGCACUUUAAAGGCAGUAAGCACAAGGCCAAACUUAAAGAGUUGGAGGGGAGUCAGAAGAAUGGUGAAGAUAAUGGUAAGAAACAACUUUGGUGUGAACUUUGUGGCGUGCCUUGCAUGAACUGGGACUGUUUGCAGCAGCAUCUUACUGGCAAGAAGCAUUUGGCUCACCUCCAAGCAAUUGAGGAUGCAAGGCAAAUGAGAGAAGAAGCUGAAGCUGUGGAGUUCCAAUUGAAAAAUGUACAGUGGGAGAUGAGUGCAUAAGGCAACAAAGGAAAAGAAUUUAGUGGAGAAGGCUAAGAAAUCAAUUGUUGGUCUAAAUAUGACUCUCUUCCUGUGUUCAUCUCGAUCCUUUACUUUCAUUGGGUUUGAUCAUUUAGACUGAUCUUUUGCCUGAUUUGACCACAGUACAUGUAAAAAUCAAUAAUUAAAAGUGUAGAAAAGUAGAAACAUCUUGAUCUGGAAAGAGAAGUUGUAACUUCUGUACAUCUUUUCGUAUAUGUUGCAUAAUUCCCUUAUUCAUCUAACCUUUCAUACUUGAAUUAUAUAGAACCCCAAUCCAUAAGGAAA